AUUGACAACUGGGAGCCAGCUGUGAGGAGGCUUUUGCUGUGCUCCCUGAGAGGUGAUGGCUGCUUGGACCGGAUGGUAGUGGAGGUGAUACGCAGAGGCUGGAUAUGUGGUUACAGAUGGCAGCUAAGGAGCCAGAGUUGGCUCAUUGUGGAUGAGUGCAGGACCAAAAGACUUCACAGAAGAGGGAUGCAGCUCCAAGAAUUUUCCCUGGGUUGCUUGUUGAACUCAGUCAUAUCUUUCUUUUGACACCCAAGUUGGCCUCCCACCACAGCCCUGAGCUGCCCUAAAUUCUUUGAUUCCAGGUUGUGGUGGUCCUCAUCAAAUUUACCCCAUUUGAUCCAAUUAUGGAAGCUAAAGGUAUCUCUGAAGUGAAAAGAUGGCCCUGGAUCCCUCUGUAACAGACUGUACCCUAGCGCCAUCUUGGCCUGUGAUCUUUCGUUUUCUUCCAUAAAGCCAGUGCAGGAGAUGUAAGCCUAGUAUUGAGUAAACUUCUCAAGAAACAAAAGGUCAAGUCCUUUUCUUGCAGGUACAAACAGAUUUUAAAAAAGAUGAGUGUGGGGGCCCUCUCUCCUGGCACUGGGUAAAGAAGUGUCCUCACCCUCCUGGGAGAGAGAAGUCUCAUUGCAAGAGCCAUUGUGUUUUGACAUAUUGUGGUCAUUGUCUUAUAUCUCUCAUGGUAAAGCUGUCAAAUUGUGUGCCUCACACCAAGGCAUGUGGGAAUCUCAGGCAGAGAAUGGGGAUCUUUUUUGAAUUAGAUUCUUCAGAAUUUAAUAACUUCACUCAUGAGGAGAAGCAUCCCCACUAUAGCCCUACCGUGUUUAGUAACCUCAGAGGAACAGACAGAGGUCUGAAUCAAUGUCUCACACUGUGUGUAUAUAUACCCACUCCCACUCCUUUCUGUAGAGAUGCCAUUUCUCUGAUCUAAUGCUAAUCUUUCCAAAUUGCUCUUUUGAGCAGGUGGAUUCCUAAAUAUUUCAGAACUAGAGUGAGGUCUUGUUCCGUCUGUUAGUCCUUCCUCUUUUAUUUUCAGCUUCCAUCUUUCCUACAGCUUAUAGUAUACUCAAGUCACUUUCAGCUUAAAAAGGAAAGAGAGAGAGAGAGAAAGUCCCUUUCUUGACUCUGCAUCUCCUUCUACCUGCUUUGUAUUUUAUUUCUUCCCUUCAAAGCAGAGUUCCUAGAAAUAAUAAUAGUCUAUAUUUUCUGCCUUCACUUUCUUCUCACUUGCUUUAAAAAACUGUAUUAUCGUUUAAUAUAUUAUGUUUUAUUCUUUAAUACAUUUUCAGCUAUAUAAAAUAUUUUCAUUGAGAAGUUUUGAGAAAUACAGAAAAGCAUAAAGAAAAAUAAAAAUUUCCCAGAAUUCCAGCAUCAUAGAUCAUCACUUUUUACCAUUUUGAAAUAUUUCCUGCUAGUCUUUUUUGGGGUCACCUUCCAAGAUUCACCCUCUCCAGGAAGUCUGUCUUUGAACCAUUCCUUCUGGUCUCUGGCUUGAUCCAGCACACAUUCUACCUGUACACAUACUGACCUCACCUAGUUCUCUAUCUACUUCCCUCACCUGUUUACAAACUUGUUUGGGGAAAAAACUAUGUUUAACUCAUCUUUGUAUCCCCCUCAUUUAGCACAGUGCCUGAAACACAAUAAAUGCUUAAAUUUUC
rnacentral:lncRNA from 1 species